rnacentral:rRNA from 1 species
CCCAACUCGGGGAGGUAGUGACAAGAAAUAACGAUGCUCCGGCCAUCGGUCGGGUAAUCGGAAUGAGAACAAUUUAAAUCCCUUAUCGAGGAUCAAUUGGAGGGCAAGUCUGGUGCCAGCAGCCGCGGUAAUUCCAGCUCCAAUAGCGUAUAUUUAAGUUGCUGCGGUUAAAAAGCUCGUAGUCGGAUUUCGGGUGGCGCCUACCGGUCCGCCUUUGGUGAGUACUGGUAGGUACCACCUUUCUGCCGAGGACGGGGUACUGGGCUUAACUGUCUGGGCCUCGGAGUCGGCGAUGUCACUUUGAGUAAAUUAGGGUGUUCAAAGCAGGCUUAUGCUCUGUAUACACUAGCAUGGGAUGACACGAUAGGACUUCGGUUUAUCUUGUCGGUCUGUAGAUCGGAGUAAUGAUUAAGAGGGACAGUCGGGGGCAUUCGUAUUUCGUAGUCAGAGGUGAAAUUCUUGGAUUUACGGAAGACGAACUUCUGCGAAAGCAUUUGCCAAGGAUGUUUUCAUUGAUCAAGAACGAAAGUCGGGGGCUCGAAGACGAUUAGAUACCGUGGUAGUCUCGACCAUAAACGAUGCCGACUAGGGAUCGGAGGUGGUUUCUUUAUGACCUUUCCGGCACCUUACGAGAAAUCAAAGUUUUUGGGUUCCGGGGGGAGUAUGGUCGCAAGGCUGAAACUUAAAGGAAUUGACGGAAGGGCACCACCAGGC